CCCUUCCUGUGCCCUCUCCUGCAUCCCCUAGGGGGCAGAGCAGCACCUCAGGCCUUCUCUGCUCCUCCCCCUGUGCUCCUCUCCCUCCCUGUGGGUGACCCUCUGACCCUCCCCUCCCACUCUCUCCGCCCCUUCCUGUGCCUUGACCUGCAUCCCUUCAUGCCUAGGGGCAGAGCAGGCUCCUCCCUUUCUGUCCUUGGGAGACCUGGAGGCAGGGUGUGUCUGAGGGUCUCCUGAGAGAGGCCCUGGUGAAAACCCAUUCCUCUUCCCACCCAAAGAGGCCUCUUUCUGGAUCAUCGCCUGCACAUCAAGUGGCUGCCCCUUCUGUGAGCCUAACAGUGCAGAACCAGCACCCCAGGGACUCGUGACUGCCCUCUAUCCAGGAGCUUACCCCAAAGCAGAGAGGAGAAGGAUCCUGCAACCAAUUAUCGAAAAUGAGUGGAGACGUUGACAUGCGCAGUGAAGAGUCCGAUACCAACCAAGAGGAAGUUGAUGAGAGGGCAGAGAAGGAAGCAGCAGGUGUGUCCUCCAAGGGGAGAAAUGCAGUAUCCCAGGCAGCAGUUGCCGAUUCUGAAAUCCAGGAGGAAGAGGAGCCCCAGGGAGCUGCUGCAAACCCUGGCCCAGCACCUAGGCAGAGGUCUGAUGUGUUUUCUUACCACCCCAAAAUAUUCAUGGGGCCCAAGAAAAACAGGAGAAAGUAUGACCGGAAAGGCAGGCUGAUCUGUAAUGGUAUCGAUCUGUGUGACUGCCUGCAGGUUGAUUGUGCCGGCUGCUUCUACCCAUGCCCCAGGUGCAACUCCAGGAAAUGUGGAGUCAAGUGCCGCCGGAAUCGCAAGUGGGUUUAUAACAAGCUGGAGGAUGAAUCUGGCGAGCUGGUCAAUGCGUUUCCCUUUGCAUUUCCUGAAUAAGGUCCUGGCGACACUUGGCUCCCCUUUCUGUCGAGGGUUGAACUGGCUUUUUUUAAAAAAUGAGUUUUAGGCCUUGGGCAAAGAGUUGGAAUGGACCUAGUGUCAACUGAUCAUUCCAGCUUUGGGGACCAACGCCAUCCUCCCCAAAGGAUUCCAUCAUUUUAGGAUUUUUUUUUUUUUGGUGUGGAAAAGAGAGCAAGUCUUUCUUGCCCUGCCAUCUUUCCACAGUCAGCCAGUUCAGAUGUCUUUAAAGUUUGGAAAAAGAAAGGAGCCUCAAUUUCUAAAGCCAGGAGUUUACUGUUCUUCAUGUUGUCAUUAGUGCUUGACGGUAAAAAACAAACAAAAAACAAAGAACAACUUAAGUGUUAACUGCUACUGAAUGUGAUAAUAAGAUCAUAUCCACCAUAUGGUGGCAGAUAUUUGCUUGUAACAGUUGUAUUUGUUGUUAUGUUGUUGUAUUUUGGAUUCUUUCUGACUUCUCCAAAUGAAUCUUUCAUGUUGAGUGAUAGUAGAUAAAUUGUUAAGCUAUUCAGAUGUCUUCAUAGACAAAAUGGAUAAGUAUUGUUCAAGUAAUAGCAUUUAAAGACAAAAAAAAAAAAUA